GGAGAGGUGUCCGAGUGGUCGAAGGAGGCGGUCUUGAAAACCGUUGUGGGGCAACUCACCGGGGGUUCGAAUCCCUCCCUCUCCG
rnacentral:tRNA from 1 species